GACGAACGCUGGCGGCGUGCUUAACACAUGCAAGUCGAACGGGCCUGUCUUCUUUUUUGGGGGUGGGUUGAGUGGCGAACGGGUGAGUAUCACGUGAGUAACCUGCCCUUCGGUCCUGGAUAACCGCUUGAAAGGGCGGCUAAUACGGGGUGGUCCGGUUGGUCCGCAUGGGCUGGUCGGGAUAGAUUCACUGUUUUUGGUGUUUCGGCGGGGGAUGGGCUCGCGGCCUAUCAUCUUGUUGGUGGGGUGAUGGCCUACCCAGGCGGUGACGGGUGGCCGGGCUGGGGGGGGGGGCGACCACAAUGGGACUGGGAUCCGGCCGAGGCUGCUAGGGGGGGGAGCAGUGGGGGGUAUUGCACAAGGGGCGGAAGCCUGAUGCAGCGACGUCGCGUGAGGGAGUGAGGCCUUCGGGUUGUGAACCUCUGUUUCCGGUGGUGAAGGCCCUGUCCGUGUGGUGGGGUUGACGGUAGCCGGGGAUGAAGCGCCGGCUAACUACGUG
rnacentral:rRNA from 1 species